rnacentral:lncRNA from 1 species
CUCCCUUCACCCAGCGCUUCCCCCGCUCGCUACCCCUCAUCCUCCUCCCCUCCUCCCUCCGUGCCAGAAUGGGAGGUUCGGCCAUGGCGAAUUCUACCCAAAACCCUAGCGUCGGCUUGAAACCCACAAUCUCUCCUCUCUCCCCAUCUUCCGGAGAUUCCCUCUCUCCCACUCCAUUACCCCUCGAAGGCUAUACUUCUCCCUUCCGCGUUCCUGAUGGAGAACAGAAGCUGUUUCGUUCGUCCUCUCUACUUCAAGGAUGAUCUACAGAACGCCGAAGGGAUACUUCCAAGCCGAGAGGGGUA